rnacentral:rRNA from 1 species
GACGAACGCUGGCGGCGUGCUUAACACAUGCAAGUCGAACGGAAAGGCCCUGCUUUUGUGGGGUGCUCGAGUGGCGAACGGGUGAGUAACACGUGAGUAACCUGCCCUUGACUUUGGGAUAACUUCAGGAAACUGGGGCUACUACCGGAUAGGAGCUCCUGCUGCAUGGUGGGGGUUGGAAAGUUUCGGCGGUUGGGGAUGGACUCGCGGCUUAUCAGCUUGUUGGUGGGGUAGUGGCUGACCAAGGCUUGGACGGGUAGCCGGCCUGAGAGGGUGACCGGCGACAUGGGGACUGAGAGACGGCGCAGAGUCCUAUGGGAGGCAGAAGUGGGGAGUAUUGCACAAUCGGCGGAAGCCUGAUGCAGCAGCGCCGGGUGCGGGAUGACGGUCUGCGGGGUGUAAACCGCUGUCGCCUGUGACGAAGCGGUAGUGACGGUAAUGAGAAAAGAAGCACCGGCUAACUACGUG